rnacentral:rRNA from 1 species
AGUGAACGCUGGCGGUAGGCCUAACUCAUGCAAGUCGAACGGCAGCACAGGAGAGCUUGCUCUCUGGGUGGCGAGUGGCGGACGGGUGAGGAAUACAUCGGAAUCUACUCUGUCGUGGGGGAUAACGUAGGGAAACUUACGCUAAUACCGCAUACGACCUACGGGUGAAAGCAGGGGACCUUCUGGCCUUGCGCGAUUGAAUGAGCCGAUGGCGGAUUAGCUAGUUGGCGGGGUAAAGGCCCACCAAGGCGACGAUCCGUAGCUGGUCUGAGAGGAUGAUCAGCCACACUGGAACUGAGACACGGUCCAGACUCCUACGGGAGGCAGCAGUGGGGAAUAUUGGACAAUGGGCGCAAGCCUGAUCCAGCCAUACCGCGUGGGUGAAGAAGGCCUUCGGGUUGUAAAGCCCUUUUGUUGGGAAAGAAAUCCAGCUGGCUAAUACCCGGUUGGGAUGACGGUACCCAAAGAAUAAGCACCGGCUAACUUCGUGCCAGCCGCCGCCGUAA